AAAUGAACAAUGAUGUAGAUCUAAAGUCCAACUGACAGAAACAUAGUGUUACACGCAAUAUUCAAAGUAUUGCUGGAAGACAACGGAAAAUUAAGGUACAGAAAUAUAGUGCUACACCCCAUAAAGUAUUGGUGAAGGAAAACGAAAAAGAUCCAGUGUUGCGAACGUAAAAGUUGUGCAUGUCUAACAUAUGCAAAUAGGCAGAGAAGUAUAAGAGAAAAUGUCUUUGAGGAAAUUCAAGUGGUUAAUGAAACAACAGCGAUACAGUAUUCUCCUGGUUGUAACAACUACAUUCAUAGUGUACACAUUCUUAUGGAAAUUUACAGUAAAUAGUGGAGUCCAUGACAAUUCAAUAUAUGGACAGCUAAAGGUUUCCGGAAGCGGAAACAGUACACAUCGUCACGUGCUUCCUUUAACAACACAAGCCGUCACCAAGA